rnacentral:rRNA from 1 species
UACGUAGGGUGCGAGCGUUGUCCGGAAUUAUUGGGCGUAAAGGGCUCGUAGGCGGUUUGUCGCGUCGGGAGUGAAAUCCACUGGCUUAACUGGUGGCUUGCUUUCGAUACGGGCAGACUGGAGGUAUGCAGGGGAGAACGGAAUUCCCAGUGUAGCGGUGAAAUGCGCAGAUAUUGGGAAGAACACCAGUGGCGAAGGCGGUUCUCUGGGACGGUACUGACGCUGAGACGCGAAAGCGUGGGGAGCGAACAGG